UACAUAGAGUGCAAGCGUUAUUCGGAUUCACUGGGCGUAAAGGGUGCGCAGGCGGCCAAGUGUGUUAGGCGUGAAAGCCUGAGGCUUAACCUCAGAAUUGCACCUAAAACUACAUGGCUAGAGCAUUGGAGAGGGUAGCGGAAUUCACGGUGUAGCAGUGAAAUGCGUAGAUAUCGUGAGGAACACCAGAGGCGAAGGCGGCUACCUGGACAAUCGCUGACGCUCAGGCACGAAAGCGUGGGGAGCAAAAGGG
rnacentral:rRNA from 1 species